rnacentral:rRNA from 1 species
AUUGAACUCCGGCGGCACGCCUUACACAUGCAUGCCCUGCCGAUGAAUGGGGCUUGCUCCUGGAUUCAGCGGCGGACAGGUGUUUAAUGCCUAGGACUCUGCCUGGUAGUGGUGGAUAACGUCCGGAAACGGUCGCUAAUACCGCAUCCGUCCUGAGGGAGAAAGUGGGGGACCUUCGGACCUCACGCUCUCAGAUGAGCCUAGGUCUGCUUAGCUAGUUGGUGGGGUAAAGGCCUACCAAGGCGACGAUCCUUAACUGGUCUGAGAGGAUGAUCAGUCACACUGGAACUGAGACACGGUCCAGACUCCUACGGGAGGAAGCAGUGGGGAAUAUUGGACAAUGGGCGAAAGCCUGAUCCAGCCAUGCCGCGUGUGUGAAGAAGGUCUUCGGAUUGUAAAGCAAUUUAAGUUGGGAGGAAGGGCAGUAAGUUAAUACCUUGCUGUUUUGACGUUACCAACAGAAUAAGCACCGGCUAACUUCGUG